GAAAAGAGCAAAGAAGAUGACAAGAUAUCUGACACCAACAUGAGAACACUUAAAAGAUCGUUUAGUUCACAUGGUUAACAUGCAAACUUGAUUUUGAUUGCAGUUUCAUGAUGUGCAACAGAAUAAUAAUCAGCAGAACUCCAAGAGAAUGGUACACUACAAAUGUACAGUCAUUAAAAAAGAAGAGUAGGAUAUGCUUAUACAAUGCUGAAAACACCAGAAAUCCCAAAGAAAAGAGCAGGUAUCUUUUACAUUAGAAUAUUUAACCAAAAUAUAUUCAAAAAUCUUUAAUUUUUUUUCCAAUCAUAGCAUAAUAACAAUGCAGAAAAAGAUGUGUUUAGUUUACAUAGCACAAUAUCUUCUUAAACAUAGCAUUGUCAAAAAUUUGUAUCCGUAAAUUCUCAUAAUUGUAAUGGUAUGGGUGUUUAAAUUUUCUUAAUUGACAAAAGAUUGAUUACUUGAAAAUAAAUAAGGAAAAAUCCUUUGUGUAGAAUUAGUCCUAAUAUGUUAUUGAACCUCAAGACGUUCCUGAAGAUUUUUCCCUUUUUCUCCUUUCACUACUGUAUUUUAACACUAAAGCUUCAUAACCUUUGAGUUUCUUAUGCCAGUCUUUGGAUUCCCUACAUGACUACCACUUGCUAUUCAUGAAAUGUUCCCAUUUUGCUUCUGAAGGAAAUAAAAAUUGGAUAUUGUAAGAAAGUAAUCAUUUCAGACUUCAUUUAUUAACAAACCAUAUUCCAAAAGAGUCUUGAGUGCCCUGUCUGAUAGACUAUUAACCUUGGAAGCUCUCUGAUUUUGAUGAUGUUUGGCACAUCAAAUUAGAAAAGGUGACUUGUAAACAAAUAAACAAACUGCUGCCUUCCUGCUUCUGGUUUCUCUGUCAUAUAUAAACAAGUUCUGAAAUGUUUUUCAACUUUUUCUUUAUUUGUCUUUGACCUUUAAAAUACAAUGAAUAUCAAUGUGGAAUUCAGUUUGCAAAAUAACUUCUUUGAGGUAUGAAAUAACAAGAAUAUGAGAUGUCUCAGCUCAUAUAACAUAUGAUUCUUUCAUAAAAAAAAAGAAGAAGAAGAAAAAGAAGAAGAACCAAAAAACCAACCACAAAAAAAUAACAUUACAUUUGUACCAGAAUGGCUAGAGAAGUUAAAUAUAUUAAACACAAGAACACAAAUAGUUUUUUAUUUUUCAUGUUUGUGGCCUUUGUCUCUUAUAACAUAGCACUCAUAUUUUCAUUGAUAACAUUUUUUCUUCAUUAUGUUACAGUAGAAUUGAGAAACAGGUGGGAAGUAAGUCUUUAAAAAACACAUAAAAUGCCUUUUGCCCUUGACUCACCUGCUGAAUUUAUCUGAUAUUUUAUGUAGCCUCCUAGCUAUUUCAUUUUGUUCAGUAAGCUAAAAGUACAAGUUAACAUUAAGCUAUGCCUGCCUUUACAGAAGGAAACAGAAGAAACUAGAGAAAGAUUCUCUGCCAAAAAAAACCAACCAAAACUAGAAUUAUGAUUCCCACUCAAAUCAAUUGACAGUGAUAAAAAAAUUGAUUUUCUGUGUGAACUGAUCAGUUUUAUGUAUGAGGUAUUAGUUAUUAAAAGCUAAAUCUGUGGAAUCUAUACAUGACUGACAGACACAAAAAACUCCUUCUGAGGUUUUGAAACACAUUAUAUACAACUAGCUUACUGUAAAAGCAUAUUAACAUCUAGGAGAGAAAGUAGCCUUCUAAACAAUUGGCCACAAAAUAUUAAUCCUCCCAAUUCAUUAAGCACGUUAAAGAGAUUUUGAAACGUCACAUGAGCGUUACUCUAGAAGAAGAUACUUUUCAUGGUUUUAGAUUUGGAAAAAUGAAUGGGAAUGUGCAUUGAUUCUUUUUGCUUAUUGGUGAAACUCUUCAAAACUGUUUUUUUGACAGAUUUCUCUGGUAUACUGUGGAGAAGGAAAAGCUGUGCUUUAACAUGAAAAAAGAAGGCGUUCCAUGUUUUUUUUGCUUUUUUUUUUUUUUUUUUUUUUUAGCCCAAAUGGAAUUUCUUUAGGUAUUAGAAACUAGAAUUACAUGUUGUUCUGGCCAGUAAGAUAGGGUCAGUUGUUAGAAUAUGUAAAUACCUGCUGUUAGGAAAAUGGAAUAGUGAAUCAAAAAUGGUCUAUGUGAGGUCAUCUGAAAAGUAUAAAAAAGUUGUAAGUAUUCUUGCAGCUCUUGAUUGUAUUUUCCAUGCAAUUGGAUUCUGCAAUCCUGUAGAAAGCAGGGAAACCUCAGGAGUUUGAGUGAUGGUUAAACUAACUUUGUUCCUUACCUGACCUGGGGGAGAGUCUCUUCGCAGGAGGGAGGACUGCCAAUUCUCACAGGUAAGUCUAGGCAAAAUUCAGGCUGAGGCUCUUCAAGAAAGGAUGCAGGAGACACAAAGGAGCUACUAUUCUCAUUUAGUCACUACUAAGUCAAAAAGAACCAAAGGUCUUAACAGUAGAGCAAACCACUAGGGAAUGAGGAGUCAGAGUCUGUGUGAACUGGGAGAAGCAAUAAUGAGAAAUUAAAAGCUUAAGCCGGAGGUAAAGACCUUGUUUACUUUGGUGCCACCUGUCUGAGCUAACCAAGUGUAACCUGCCUGCACUGAUAAUCAUGAGAGUAACACUGUAUAUCUGUUGGUUUGGCAAUUGAAGGUCACAGUUACUGGCUUCAGCCUACUUCUGUGCUGCGCAGCUCACAAAGACUCAGGCAUAGGGUGACGCAUAUGAAGGGACCUGACUGUACAGAAGACAAUGCCAGUUAACUUAUAAUUUUGAUGGUGUUCUGCUGCGUGAAUUAACAAAUGCUAGGAGAAUUUUGUAGUAAAUCCCCUAUCAAAAAGUUCCACCAGUCUACUUAAUUCACUGCAGAUACCUGUAAAACUCUAUUUGAAAUACAAACCAGUAUGAAUUAGCCUGAUCUACUUCAUAUGGAGCCAGGAGUUUGAAACAAUUGAGUAGGCUAAAAAAGAGGGACUAUUUCAUUUACAGUAGGUGCUACAAGGUAAUCUGCAUAUGCAGAAAAAUGCCUCAGGAUUCUUUUGUGAUUUUGUGAUCAUGAAGUGACCAUGAGUGGCUGUUAUACUCAAUGGCAAGCUGGCAAACUGCAGCAGUAGCUUUGUGUUUGAGAGGGAACACUUUGUGAGUGGGCAGAUCAAAUAGUUCAAGCUAAAUAUGAGCACCUGUGAGUCUUGGCUAUUUGAAUCAAUGUCAGCUUAAAGGGAGGAGGGGAAAGGUAUCUAGAAAUAGUGUAUAUCAAAAGUACUAUUAAAAAAAUACUUUAUUCCAAAACUGUGCUGUGAUGGGUGCUUAUUUUGGAGUGGAGUCAUGUAGUUCUCAGGUACACUUCCGGGAAGAUCAAAAAACAGCCAAAAGGAAUAUCUAGAUAUGUUAUGCCCAUCUUGUAGAGAGAGUGAUAACAUGCUCAGAUCUAUUAAGGUUAUCACUUCUGGCCUUUUAGAAAAUAGUGUUACUUCUUAAACUUUUUUUCUGCUUCACUGACAAAAAAGUGUAUGUGCUUAGUUUUUUUGGUUUUUUUUUUUUUUUUUUCUAAAUAACUAAAGUUCACUGAAAUGAUAGACAAACAGGGUCAGUUUAAUUGAAUCCAGUUCAGCUUUGCUGAUUCAGUGUUUUGUUCAGCACAGAAAUGAUAGUAAAUGAAAUUUAUUUACAGAGAAGCAGAGUCCCUGAAACUCCGUUCCUCCUACCCAGUCAUCUCAUCCUUGCAGGAGCUUAUUGCAUCCAGGAUAGCAAAAGGGAGAAAGUAAACAGAAGUGACUGAAAUACUAUGUUCUCUCUUUUUAAAUACUGAUUAAAUAGCAAAGUCUUCCAUAAACAUAAUGUGGCUGAUACUUACCCUACUUUUCUGAGUAUGAUUUUGAGAUGGGUGUCACUGCCAGGAGGUAUGGUUUCACUGUUUGAUAUGCUUCUCUGAGUACUGUACCCUCUAACUUUUUAUUGUUAUUUAUUCUUAGUUGAUGGUUUGUGAGAACUAUUCAUGAAAAUCAUAUUUCAUUAAAAAAGCUUUUAUUCAGGAAAAUAUUUCAUAAAUUCAAGAUGAGAAUCUGGGAGAGAGGUGAUGCAUCUAGGUUGAGAUUAUUUUUCUUCUCAUCCAGAAGCCAUUGCUGAGAGCAUAUAAUCAGGAUAGGAGUGACUCUGUGCUGUUUUCUGCUGAGAGCCAGGUAGGGACAGUUGGCGGCACACUGGUUCCCAUAUCUAAGCUGAACAUACAAGAAUUCUCAAGUGAAAUCCACCCCUCGAUAAUGCCUUUUAAAACAAUACAUCCCCAUACAAUCUUAACAUUUAGGAGAAGAAUGUUUUGAAGGACAGAGAAAACCUAUUUCCUUCUCUCUUCUCUAUCUGCUAGAGCUAUUUGAAGUUGUAGAGUCAGUUACAGAGGAAGACAAAAAGAAAAACAAAACAUAAGUACAUUUCUUACAAAUUAAAACUGUUUAUGUUAUACAAAAGCGGGUUUGAUUAUUAGAGAAUUAAGCUGAUUUUAAGAAAAGAGUAGACAGCUUCCCUGAGAAAAGCCUCUGGCUGCAGCCUCAUAGGAAGGAUGGGGUGUAGAAGCAUUCCCUACGAGGAUCAACUCAUUUUCAAAUGUGCUUUGAAGAGGCAGAUGUCCAUCCUGAGGCCAGAUUUCUGUUUUACGCAAAGCACAUUUUCUCCUUUCUCCAUAGGAGGGGUAGAAACAUAAUGCCAGGCAUUUGAUUUCUACCUGCAAGAUUUCAGGGACAAGUCCUUACAGUAACCAUC
ensembl:lncRNA